CUUGGGCUACCUGUGUUAWAACGAAGGUUGAAGUCGUUCAACAUGGCUGUCAAGCUUGUAGUUUUUGACAUGGCAGGAACAACAGUCGACGACUCAGUUAAUGGACUUCCAUUAGUGGCUGUUGCUAUGCAGGAAGCUUUUAGAAAGCAUGGGCUAGAAGUAAGUAUCGAUAAAGUGAACGAAGUUCGUGGAAUGGAGAAGAAAAAUGCUAUMAAAAAUGUUCUUCAAGCCUUGAGAAAAGAGAGCCAAGGUGAAAGUGUGGCGGCAAAAUUUCAGGACGACGACGCGCCCGUAGAUGCAAUUUUCAAAGACUUUAAAGAAUCACUAAAUACUCACCUCGAGUACAUCGAUAAAGAAAUUCCAGGAACAAGUGAAACGUUUCGAAUAUUGAAAACAAAGGGAAUAAAUAUUUCGGUAGGAAGUGGAUUUCCACACUCAGUAGUAGAAACGAUAGUUAAAAAUCUAGGUUGGGAAGGCAURAUAGAUUACGUUUCUAGCGCAGAGAAGGAGGGACAUGGAAGGCCUCAUCCGGCAAUGAUUCAUGCAGCAAUGAAAUUCUGCUCAGUUGAAGAUGCACGGUCUGUAGUGAAGGUUGGAGAUACAAAAAUUGACGUCCAGGAAGGAAGGAAUGCUGGAUGUUGGACUGUAGCCGUGCUCACUGGGACGCAGACUGAGGAAAGUCUGAGAGAUUCUAAACCUGAUUUUAUUAUUGCAAGUGUAGCAGAUUUACCUUCUGUUUUAUCUCAAAUUGAGACAAACAUGCACACAGGCAAAGCAGUUAUACCAGCAGACACAAUCAAAACAGACACAAACAAAAGCAGAUACAAUCAACUAACCAGAGCCUUACAAGAAGCCCUAGGAAGUCAGAGAUACACUGGCAAGCAAGAGACGAUCAGCAUUUGGUGUUGUUUAUCGUCAAGUACUGCACAGAUUUCUGGUACUUAUUGGUUCGAGUACCAUUCUUGGUUGCACCGUUAUUCCUGAUGGCCACAAACGUAUCGUGGAAGACGGUUUGGUAGUAUUUGCUGGAUGCAAAGGUGUGAUAACCAGAGCUUUGCAAGACAUUCUUGAAAACUGACUCAUCGUUUGUGACGGUCUGGAAGGAAAAAAAGGAUAUUUGACCGAUUGGACUUGGAACGUCACUCGAUGGUUGUCGAACGCAAUGACAAUGUUUAAGUUAAAUUAAUGCACCUACAUGACUUGAAGAUUAUCAGAUUUCUGGGACAAAAAACCGCUAAUAUUUUAAAAGGAAGGCAUUGAUCUUCUUUGUUGGGUCUCUGUUUGUGCAGAUCAACUUAUUAUGCUAACGUCAUGGCUGAUCGCCGUUUAAAUUGGCACAAAAAAAUCCUAUUUCUAACAACUGGACUUAGACUUUACUAAGCCUAUUUUUUGUAAUGUAUUAGUGUGAUUUAAUAGUUAGUAGACUAAUAGACUGGUUAGUAGAUUGGCCUAUAUUUGGACUAUAUUUAUAUCGUUUUCUUUUGCGUGUGUCUAUUUGUCUAGUAUACACUAUCUACUUGAAACUGUUUCACGGUCUGAGGAAAAUCGCUUUAGCUAUAUUACAUUAGUAAAAUAAUUAUUGCAUGAUGAUUAGUAUAGGUAAUCGUAUGGGGACGAGUAAAAUUAAGGAUUAGUCUCACGAGUUUUUUCAAAGUUUGGAAAUAUGAACGAGUCGCGAAUA